GGAUUAAUUUAUUGGUCGUGCUAUUGUACGUACUGGUAUUAUUGAUUCCUACCUUCUGACGAACCAUGAUGUCAUUAAUUUGGUGUCAUGGGGAAUCAGGACUGUUACUUUGAAAAAAUUAGAGUGUUCAACGCAGGCUAUUGCUGUGAAUACAUUAGCAUGGAAUAAUGGAAUAGGACU
rnacentral:rRNA from 1 species